rnacentral:rRNA from 1 species
GUAGGUGGCAAGCGUUGUCCGGAAUUAUUGGGGCGUAAAGCGCGCGCAGGCGGUUCUUUAAGUCUGAUGUGAAAGCCCACGGGCUCAACCGUGGAGGGUCAUUGGAAACUGGAGAACUUGAGUACAGAAAGAGGAAAGCGGAAUUCCACGUGUAGCGGUGAAAUGCGUAGAGAUGUGGAGGAACACCAGUGGCGAAGGCGGCUUUCUGGUCUGUAACUGACGCUGAGGCGCGAAAGCGUGGGGAGCAAACAGGAUUAGAUACCCUGGUAGUCCACGCCGUAAACGAUGAGUGCUAAGUGUUAGGGGGUUUCCGCCCCUUAGUGCUGCAGCUAACGCAUUAAGCACUCCGCCUGGGGAGUACGGCCGCAAAGGCUG